rnacentral:rRNA from 1 species
AUGAGUCUCAUCAGCUGGAACUGCCGGGGUUUGGGGCAACUACGGACAGUUCAAAAGCUCGUGCGCCUGGUGCACACUUAUUGCCCAAAGAUUGUCCUCUUGUCAGAAACAUGUCCAUGUGAGGAGAAGGUGAAAAGAAUAAAAUGGAGACUGUUGAAGCACUGCCUUAGUCAUGAUGGUAAGGGUAAAGGUGCGGGCAUUGCCUUGUAUUGGGAUGAGUCAAUCUUUCCUACUUCUAAAGAUUUGAGUUGGUGGUGA